rnacentral:rRNA from 1 species
GAUGAACGCUGGCGGCGUGCCUAAUACAUGCAAGUCGAGCGAACGGACGAUAAGCUUUCUUCUCUGAUGUUAGCGGCGGACGGGUGAGUAACACGUGGAUAACCUACCUAUAAGACUGGGAUAACUUCGGGAAACCGGAGCUAAUACCGGAUAAUAUUUUGAACCGCAUGGUUCAAAAGUUAAAGACGGUCUUGCUGUCACUUAUAGAUGGAUCCGCGCUGCAUUAGCUAGUUGGUAAGGUAACGGCUUACCAAGGCAACGAUGCAUAGCCGACCUGAGAGGGUGAUCGGCCACACUGGAACUGAGACACGGUCCAGACUCCUACGGGAGGCAGCAGUAGGGAAUCUUCCGCAAUGGGCGAAAGCCUGACGGAGCAACGCCGCGUGAGUGAUGAAGGUCUUCGGAUCGUAAAACUCUGUUAUUAGGGAAGAACAUAUGUGUAAGUAACUGUGCACAUCUUGACGGUACCUAAUCAGAAAGCCACGGCUAACUACGUG